CUCUAACAAAUAUAAACAAACAAACCAAAAAUUGCGUAACAUACGUCUCAACAUACAUUUAUACACAAUGUCUGCAUUAACAAAUCGGUGUGGAACAUUACAUUCCGCAAGUGAAAUUUCUAGCUUCACACCAAAACCUCCACUAUGGCAGCACGGGUGCCUCAGCAAAUCCCUGGAUCAUCACGGCAAACGCGGGAACUGCCUCAACAAGUCCCUGGUCCAUCA
rnacentral:lncRNA from 1 species